rnacentral:rRNA from 1 species
ACCCUGGACGGGGGAUCACUCGGCUCGUCCGUCGAUGAAGAGCGCGGCUAUCCGCGUGAACUGAUGCGAAUUGCAGGACUCAGUGAACAUCGACACCUCGAACGCACAUUGCGGCCCCGGGAUCCCAUAGUCCCGGGGCCCCGUCCGGUCGAGAGGCGGUCACGAACACUAUCGCGCCGUCCGUCGCCGCCCGUAGGCGGUUGGCGGGGAGCCGGGAGUCGCAGGAGAAAAAAAAAAGGGCGACGACGCGCCACCACCACGGGGAGCGGGCUAGCGAUUUCUAAAUCUCUCGCCCGCCCGCAGCUCUCCGUGAGAAGUGGCCGCCGCCGCCGGCGCUUGUCUAACUCCUCCGUCUCCCGCGUUUACAGACCGUCAUCGUUUGCGGAUCGCUCGUCCGUCACGACUUUCGAAGGCUUUUUUGGGUCGCCGCUCGCUCGCCGCUCGCUCGUCGCCGCUCGCCCGCCUUUUAGGAAAGCGGUUCGAAAAAAAAGAAAAGAAGCCGGAAUGCGCUCGCGCUCGCCAAAAAGGGUAGGAAAACGGUUGCUGCUGCUGCCCGCCUUUAGCUGUAGCCUCUUCCUCUGCUGCUGUCGUUGGUCGUCGUUGGUCGGCGUUCGCUCUGUGAGUCGACAAGCGAGCGUUCGUGCCGUCCGUACGAAUGAACCGACUUGAGUAAGAAGAAGACGGCUGCACGCACGCACGCCCGCCGGCAUCGUUUUUUCUCCUCUCCUCUCUUGUUUUUUGGCUGCUGCGCCCGCUCGCUUGUGCGCGUUCUGCUGCUUGGUUUGAUUUUUUUGCGUCCCGUAGCUGGUUUGACGACGGCUGGCGGUGGUUUAAAUUGGCCUUUCGAUUUUCGGUUAGCUGACGUUGCUUUCUUCUCGUGAACACUUCUCACACACGCUGCCCUCGACUCGGACGAGACUACCCGCCGAACUUAAGCAUAUCGCUAAGCGGAGGAAAAGAAACCAACCGGGAUUCCCUUAGUAACGGCGAGUGAACCGGGAGGAGCCCAACGCCGAAUCUCGUCGUCCGCUGUGGUCGUCGAGAGCUGUGGCGCAAGGGUCGUACACGGUCGUUCGUUUCGCCCGGCUAGGUUCGGAGUCCCCUCGAUCGGGGCUGCCCAGAGCGGGUGCCAGGCCCAUUCGGAGCCGGCGGCGAUCGGCGGUGUUCUUCGGCCCGAGAGUCGGGUUGCUUGGGAACGCAGCCCAAAGCGGGUGGUAAGCUCCAUCCAAGGCUAAAUACGGGGACGAGUCCGAUAGCCGACAAGUACCGCGAGGGAAAGUUGAAAAGAACUUUGGAGAGAGAGUUCAAGAGACCGUGAAACCGCCCAGGGGUAAACGGGUAGGACCGCUCACCGCGAUCGCGAGGGGACUCAGUCCGCUGCUUCACACGCCAAAGGCGCCGUCGUCGUCGACGACAGAGCCGGUGACGGUUGCUCGCUUCGGCGGGCGGCCGCCUGCCGCCUCGUCGGCGGUCGAUUUCCGGGGCGCCGGCAUCGGACGCACUUCCCCUCCGAUCCGUCGUCGCGACCCGUUCUCGUCGGGCCGGUAGGCGCGCGGAGUCCGCAGGUCGCAGGGCAGCGCCCCGCUCCGGUCCUCCUUCGCGGGAGGCAGUUGUGGGAUUCGCCUGCUGCUCUCGACCGGGCCCGUCGCUCACUCCAACGCAGGCACGGCUAACCGACGGGGACGGGCUAACGCACCUCGCCCUUUGCCGAGACGACGCAGCGAGUCGCGCGCUUCGGCGUGCGACGCGGCCGCCCGCCAGACCUCGUCUGCCGUCUCUUCUGUUUUCGUCUUUCGUUUGUUUCUCUUCGGAGGGAGGAGUGGGAGCGUAGUAGAACGAGCCGCGGUAGUUACGGGAGUUGGCGGGAUCGCCCGAAAAGCCGCCCGCUGCCGCCGGUCAGCGACGAGCAUCGGCAACCUACCCGACCCGUCUUGAAACACGGACCGAGGAGUCCCAGUCGACUGCGAGUCGUUGGAGCCUUUUCACUUCGCGAACUCCGACGGCACAGCGAAAGCGAGAACGUGACACGUCGUCGCGCGUCGCCGCCCUGCUUGCCGGCGCUCGUCUCCUCGAUCGUCGUUGGCAGGCGCUGGCGCGCGCGCGGCGCCUCGAAGCAUCGUUCCCGGGUCGGGUCCGCGCGUUCGCGUUCUUCGAAGGCGGCCUUCUUGUUUUGAGGGUUUGUUUUUGUUCCGCGUUCCCGCUCCGACUCAGGUGUAGCAGGCGGCCGGGGACCCGAAAGAUGGCGAUCCACGCCCGGUCGGGACGAAGCCAGAGGAAACUCUGGUGGAAGUCCGAAGCGCCUCUGACGUGCAAAUCGAUCGUCGGAACCGGGUGUAGGGGCGAAAGACCAAUCGAGCCGUCUAGUAGCUGGUUCCCUCCGAAGUUUCCCUCAGGAUAGCUGGCGCCAGCGGGAGAACGACACGCAAUUCCGUCCGGUAAAGCGAACGACUGGAGGCCCCGGGGACGUUGACGGCCUCGAUCUACUCUCGAACUCGGAACG